GGCGCCAUGGCGCAGUCGGCACCGCGCUCCCCUAGUAAGGGAGAGAUCAUGGGUUCGAUUCCCAUUGGCGCCA
rfam:Acanthamoeba castellanii str. Neff unplaced genomic scaffold scf7180000084720, whole genome shotgun sequence.